UACGUAGGGCGCAAGCGUUGUCCGGAAUUAUUGGGCGUAAAGAGCUCGUAGGCGGUCUGUCACGUCUGCUGUGAAAACCCGGGGCUUAACCCCGGGCUUGCAGUGGAUACGGGCAGACUAGAGGCAGGUAGGGGAGAAUGGAAUUCCCGGUGUAGCGGUGAAAUGCGCAGAUAUCAGGAGGAACACCGAUGGCGAAGGCAGGUCUCUGGACAGUUCCUGACGCUGAGGCACGAAGGCCAGGGGAGCAAACGGG
rnacentral:rRNA from 1 species